rnacentral:misc_RNA from 1 species
GUUCAAACUUGCCCCAUUUUCAGUCAACACGUUCUCUGUUUUUCCCUCUCAUCCAUUAAAUAAACAUCAAAUUCUCAACAAAAAUUACUUGUUUUUCUUCUGCAAUUUGUAGAAUAAUGAACAUGGAUAUGGAGGAAGAAAUGUGUACAACACCAAAAAAUCAAGAAUAUCGAAUUCAAACGCCAUUAGAGUGUCCACCGGCUCCGAAGAAGAAGAAGAAUGAAAACAGAGCAGCAGCGAAAAGGUACAAAAAGCCCAAAAUUACAGCCUAUUUUCAUUCUCCUGAUCUUGAUGCAUUUUUUGGCGGAGACGGAGCUAGAGUUUUAGUUAUGAGUCCCGCAAUUCAAUAAUCGGGAACUCUCUUAUCUAGAAUUUCAGCAAACUAUUAUUUCUAUGAUUUCGGAUCCAAUAAGUUGUUAUUUUUCUUUUUUUAGAAAAAUUCAUAAAUUUUAAAUUUUAAAUUUAUGAUAGUUAUUUAAUUUAGCGAGGUUGUAAAAUAGCAUAUAAAGUUUGUUUGUUUG